rnacentral:rRNA from 1 species
UGAGGAAUAUUGGUCAAUGGGCGAGAGCCUGAACCAGCCAAAUCGCGUGAAGGAAGACUGCCUUAUGGGGUUGUAAACUUCUUUUAUACAGGAAUAAAAAACGGGGACGUGUCCCUUAUUGCAUGUACUGUAUGAAUAAGCAUCGGCUAACUCCGUGCCAGCAGCCGCGGUAAUACGGAGGAUGCGAGCGUUAUCCGGAUUUAUUGGGUUUAAAGGGUGCGCAGGCGGGCUUUUAAGUCAGCGGUGAAAUCUCGGGGUCUUAACUCCGAAACUGCCGUUGAAACUGGGAGUCGUUGAGUAUGGAUGAAGUAGGCGGAAUUCGUUGUGUAGCGGGUGACAUGCUUAGAUAUAACGAGGAACUCCGAUUGCGUAGGCAGCUUACUAAGCCAUAACUGACGCUCAAGCACAAAGCGUGGGGAUCAAACAGGAUUAGAUACCCUGGUAGUCCACGCCGUAAAGCGAUGAUUACUAGUUGUAUGCGAUAUACCGUAUG